UGAAGAUGAAGAUGAAGAUGAAGAUGAAGAUGAAGAUGAAGAUGAGGAUGGGAUGGGAUGAGGAUCAGGAUGAACCCUGCUGCCAUCACUCCCCACUCCUCUCUCCCCUUCCCUAUCUCCCUGCCUUCAGCCCACACGUGCUUUGCCCUCCAGUGCCUGCGCCGCAGCUCCACGCUCAGGGUUGCAAUGCAACAUUGCAGACAUAUAACAGCCUGAAAAAUGAAGCCAAACUUUCCCCUCCCCACACCUCAUCCUUGCCCUAAAUACACAGAGCAAGCUGCGGAGCUCGGCUGGCUGCGCGAUGGGAGCCAGCGGCGGAUGUUGACAGCCUUGAUGUUGGGCGGGCAGGAUCCUGCACAUCUCCCGCUGUAUGGCGCUAGAUAUUUAAUAAAGCAAAACCCCCAGGAUCAAGCAGGCUGCCGUCCCUCCCAGCUCCUUUCUUCUGCUUUGCUCGAGCUCUUUAAAGCCUGCCUCCCGUCUCUCUCCAGAAAAUCCUUUCAUGCCUCCCUCACCAGACUGACAUUUUGACAAGUUGCCACGAGUGACAUCUGAUUUGUACAAAUUUCAAGACUAAUAAAUCUACCUGUCAAAGCGGAAACUUUAAAAGGAGCUAAGCCCAGCGGGUAUAGUUUAACAGAACUCAAGUUGAUGAAACUGUAGGAUGGAGAAAUUAUAUCUGUCACAAUCCACCCACAUUAGUUCUGUAGAGAUGUUGGCAACUGAAACAAACGUCUUUCACAGCCUCGAAAGAAAAAAAUAAAAAUAAAAAAAAUAAAAGGAGACUGUUAAUACUGUGAGUAACAAGUAACAGUUCUAUUUGUAAACUAGCACGGUUAUUUAUUUAAUUUUUAAUUUGCUUGUAGACACGAACAGGAGGAGACCCCCAGCUCCGUGGUGCAGUUGAGGUUCCAGCACCCAGGAGCAGUGGCUAUGGCACACUGGGUCAGGACAGGGCACACGCUGCUCUGCCCAGCUCUCCUUGUACUUGCUGUGGUUCUCUGCAGGGAGCCCCGUCCCCAUCUGCCAACCCAGAGAGCCAAAGGGGCUGUGAUUGAGGCUCUCCCCAUCCAUGCAUAUCUCAUCCCCAUCCCCAGGACACAGAACUGGCGCUCAGAGUAUUUUUCUGCAACAGUGAGCACAAAAUGAGCCAGGUGCUUGCAAAGAGCUUCAAGGAGUAUCCAGCAAACCAAGGAAGGAGCUGCAGCACGUGAAGCUGAGGUCCCUCCUCUUGCACUUCACAGCAGAAGUGCUCUGGGUCCUGCAAACCUUCCUGCAGCUCUGUGUUCCUCGUGUCCCACUCUCCUUUGGAGUUGUUUUCCUCUGGAUGUACAGCCGCAGAAACACGCCAUGCACAAAGUUGAUGAAGCUUGGUUAAUUUUCUAAUAGGCGCAGCAGUGAUGGAUGGAAGCCGUGCUGUCUUCCAGCUCAACUUAAAAGUCAAAUAAAAAUAAUCAUGCUGAUGGAAAAAUAUCAUUCUUCCAGCAAAGGCAGAUAAUAUAUGAUCUGUUCUAUCUGCCAAGCGCCCGUCCCUGGUAACAUUCCCAUGUGCUUCAGCAGGGGCAGAGUUCAGCUCACACUAUGCACUCUCCCAUCCACCAUACACUGGGGCUUCAGCGUAAACAACCCAUGGAGCUUUUUCAACAUCUGCAUUAUUUCUAAUACGGUUCCCACAUCAAGAGCUGUGCUGCAAUGGAGGCAGAGGCGGCCUGCAGCAGGGACUGCAGCGUGUGGGAUUCAGGGAGCACCUCCUACAGGUUGGAGUCUGCACGCUGCAUUUGCAUUGCAUGGAUCCUGCAAAUCAGGAGUUGCAAGCUGUGCUCGGGGAGUCUGCAGCUUUCUGCAGGUCUGCUGUGCUGCUGAGAGCUCUGCAAAGGGCAACAGACCCAGAAUUCAGGUGGGAUGCAGUCGGAGCUGCGCUCAGCGUGGGGCUGCUCGGCGGUGCUGCGCUUUGGUUUCGCUGUGAUGCCGCUGUGCCAUGCCCCAGGUAAAUCAUCUCUAAUCCGAUUUGCUGAGCUCAGCUGCCUUCACAGUGGGAUGAGGGAUGGCAGGACAAGCCCAGCAGGUUAUUUCUGCCAUACUUCUUCCAUCGCUCCAUACCCACAGCAAAUGACACCUAUAUAUCUUGGCAGCAAAAUGAAGCGUGGUGGGGACGAGUUUUCCUCCUCGCCACCAAAACCUCGCAGCCAGCGUACCAACACUGCCCACCCCAUCCUCAUCUCCAUGCAGAUUUCACACACGGCCCCAGGCAGUCGAAUGCUGCACUGAAGGGCCGAGUGAUGAAGAGGGGACCGCUUGCAGCCACCAUCAUUGCUUCAAACAAACAGGCUGAGAGCUUAAUGAUUUCAAGGCCCAGUGGGUGUCCUGUCUUCCUGGAAUUUGUUGGCUAUCUAAUGAGAAGCAGCCUGGCGAACGAUGUUAAUGGAUAAAGGCACCUUAUGUGGGGGGCCGCACUGCGUGAUAUGGAGCGGAGCCACCUGACAGCAGCCUGAUGUGAGCGAUAGUGCAGAGGGCAGGAAGCAACAUGAAGAGCCACCCCGGGGCUUGCAGGGCUCGCCAAGCAGACAGAACAGAGGGAGAGGUGCACAAAGAACCCGUUGAUAUUGACUCGGUUGGAGCAAAACGUCGAUAACCGCAGACCUCGAAGGUCAGGGAGGAUGGAUAGCAGUGAUGGGUGGAGGCUCUCCCUGUGCACGGCUACUGCGUUGCUCAACUGCCUCUGAUCCCUGGGAGCACAUCUUUCCUUCCACGUGGCCAUGGCCAAACAUACACUCUCCUGUAUUAAAAGAGCACCAGCUCCUCGAGAAAGACUGCAGAAAAUCUCUCAGUUUGGGAUGACUCCCAACCUUGGGGAGCUACAGAAAUUGAAUCCGCAGCACCUCUCAGAGAAACAUCACCCAAAGGACUCAGGGCAACUUCUGGGACAGCGGGACAAGGUGAUGCUGGAAUCCCUGGCAGCACCCAAGUCUCUCAUUGCCCAAGAAGACAAAUCUUUGUAUGGCACCAAAGUACAGCACAAAAAAGCUACGUGGAGCCAAUGACCAGCAUCCAACUCCACGGCAGCAUGCUGCCCUGCGCUCCCUGGCAUCCAGCUCUUGGACACCUUCAACACAGGUGUUUUCCCAGCUCUUUCUGCUGUUAUGGCCAUGUUCGUGGUGCUCAGAGGUGGGGGCAGGAGGCAGCCCUGGGGGCAUGAAACCCCUCUGAGCAGCGUCACCCCAGUGCUGUGUUCCCAUCCCCACGAGCCAGCAGGACACCUUUCAUGUCCUAAAUGCAGCGUGGAGGCCAACAUAGCACUAAUUACAAGGCAGUGCAUCCCCGUGCCCUGUGACUAAGGCAGUAUGUAGAGCAAAGGUAGGAACAAACCACCAGAAGAGCAAAUAAAUAAAGGAGGCAGCCUUAAUAAUGGGGUAAUUACCUGGCUUAAGUACACAAUCAUCUAGCAUUUUGCUAAACUUUAUGACACAUGAUGACAAGUUAAUAAAUGAGAUGUCUUACCAGCAGUAAAACAGCUGUUAGCAGCCACCUUGUAUGUCUGGGUAGCCCAGAGCAAAAUGAACCACCGCGCCAAAUGAAAAGAAACUGGUUAUUUCUGUUUGUCGAAAUAGCCCGUGUAAUAAAUCACCAUUAA